rnacentral:rRNA from 1 species
GACGAACGCUGGCGGCGUGCUUAACACAUGCAAGUCGAACGGAAAGGCCCUGCUUUUGUGGGGUGCUCGAGUGGCGAACGGGUGAGUAACACGUGAGUAACCUGCCCUUGACUUUGGGAUAACUUCAGGAAACUGGGGCUAAUACCGGAUAGGAGCUCCUGCUGCAUGGUGGGGGUUGGAAAGUUUCGGCGGUUGGGGAUGGACUCGCGGCUUAUUAGCUUGUUGGUGGGGUAGUGGCUUACCAAGGCUUUGACGGGUAGCCGGCCUGAGAGGGUGACCGGCCACAUUGGGACUGAGAUACGGCCCAGACUCCUACGGGAGGCAGCAGUGGGGAAUAUUGCACAAUGGGCGGAAGCCUGAUGCAGCAACGCCGCGUGCGGGAUGACGGCCUUCGGGUUGUAAACCGCUUUCGCCUGUGACGAAGCGUGAGUGACGGUAAUGGGUAAAGAAGCACCGGCUAACUACGUGCCAGCAGCCGCGGUGAUACGUAGGGUGCGAGCGUUGUCCGGAUUUAUUGGGCGUAAAGGGCUCGUAGGUGGUUGAUCGCGUCGGAAGUGUAAUCUUGGGGCUUAACCCUGAGCGCGCUUUCGAUACGGGUUGACUUGAGGAAGGUAGGGGAGAAUGGAAUUCCUGGUGGAGCGGUGGAAUGCGCAGAUAUCAGGAGGAACACCAGUGGCGAAGGCGGUUCUCUGGGCCUUUCCUGACGCUGAGGAGCGAAAGCGUGGGGAGCGAACAGGCUUAGAUACCCUGGUAGUCCACGCUGUAAACGGUGGGUACUAGGUGUGGGGUCCAUUCCACGGGUUCCGUGCCGUAGCUAACGCUUUAAGUACCCCGCCUGGGGAGUACGGCCGCAAGGCUAAAACUCAAAGGAAUUGACGGGGCCCCGCACAAGCGGCGGAGCAUGCGGAUUAAUUCGAUGCAACGCGUAGAACCUUACCUGGGUUUGACAUGGAUCGGGAGUGCUCAGAGAUGGGUGUGCCUCUUUUGGGGUCGGUUCACAGGUGGUGCAUGCCUGUCGUCAGCUCGUGUCGUGAGAUGUUGGGUUAAGUCCCGCAACGAGCGCAACCCUUGUUCACUGUUGCCAGCACGUUAUGGUGGGGACUCAGUGGAGACCGCCGGGGUCAACUCGGAGGAAGGUGGGGAUGACGUCAAGUCAUCAUGCCCCUUAUGUCCAGGGCUUCACGCAUGCUACAAUGGCUGGUACAGAGAGUGGCGAGCCUGUGAGGGUGAGCGAAUCUCGGAAAGCCGGUCUCAGUUCGGAUUGGGGUCUGCAACUCGACCUCGUGAAGUCGGAGUCGCUAGUAAUCGCAGAUCAGCAACGCUGCGGUGAAUACGUUCCCGGGGCU